UCCGAGUUGACCCCGGCAGUCUCCCAUGAGUCCCCGGCAUUACCCGCUGGCAACAUGGAACGAGGGUUGCGCUCGUUGCGGGACUUAACCCAACAUCUCACGACACGAGCUGACGACAGCCAUGCAGCACCUGUGCAUCCUGGUAUUGCUACCUCGUCAGGUUUUACCCUUCUACUAGAUGCAUGUCAAGGCCAGGUAAGGUUCUUCGCGUUGCAUCGAAUUAAGCCACAUACUCCACCGCUUGUGCAGGCCCCCGUCAAUUUCUUUGAGUUUUAAUCUUGCGACCGUACUUCCCAGGCGGCUUGCUUAACGCGUUAGCUCCGCCACAAAAGGGGUCGAUUCCUUUUACAGCAAGCAAGCACCGUUUACGGCUAGGACUAC
rnacentral:misc_RNA from 1 species